GUCCCGGCCCUAAACGGUGCGCAUUUGCUGUAGGAGGAAUCGACCCCUUCUGUGGCGAAGCUAACGCGAUAAAUGCGCCGCCUGGGGAGUACGGUCGCAAGAUUAAAACUCAAAGAAAUUGACGGGGGCCUGCACAAGCGGUGGAGUAUGUGGCUUAAUUCGAUGCAACGCGAAGAACCUUACCUGGCCUUGACAUGCAUUUGGUAGAACCAUGAAAGUGGGACGACCCCGCAAGGGGAGGAUGCACAGGUGCUGCAUGGCUGUCGU
rnacentral:rRNA from 1 species